rnacentral:rRNA from 1 species
CACGCCAUAAACGAUGAAUACUAGGUGUAGGGGGUAUCGACCCCCUCUGUGCCGACGUUAACACAUUAAGUAUUCCACCUGGGGAGUACGGCCGCAAGGCUGAAACUCAAAGGAAUUGACGGGGACCCGCACAAGCAGUGGAGUAUGUGGUUUAAUUCGACGCAACGCGAAGAACCUUACCAAGGCUUGACAUCCUCUGACCGCUGUAGAAAUACAGCUUCUCUUCGGAGCAGAGAGACAGGUGG